GAAUCCAAAGCAAUUUACCAAAGAUAUUCUUUACAAGCAGAGUCGUACAAUGUUACCAAACACGUUACAUGAAAAGUGUGUUGCGAAGUUUCAAUCAAUCUGGUUUCCAUACACAAACAACAGGAGCAAAUCACAGUUCUUUUCCGCCUCGUCGAUGAGGCACACACCACACAGGCUCUUACCUUUCCCAGCUGACCCAACCAUUAUCGAGUCAUAAUACAUGACAAAGUCACUACAAGGAUGCGGCUUCGUCAAGUGCUGCUCGUUCAAUAUCAGCAACAGUCUUGCUAUUGCUAUUGCGCACGAGUCCUGCUGUUUUCGGCAGCCCUCACCUGGAGGAAGUAUGGAUGUGCCUGCAUUACACCUUUAAAAUUAGAACAGCAACCAUUGUAACUCCAAACAUGACAUCCUCUAAGCAACCGCACUAAUCAAUCUAUCCACAAACCAAAUGCUCAAACACAUCAUGCAGCACCAAGGAGCUGGAGAUGAGAAAAGAAAGUAUAAUUGCAUGGUCAAAUGGACAUUAAGCACAAUUGGCUGGGAGCCACUGAACAACCAGUCGAAAACAGCAAGACUUACCAUAGCUUCACGUGCAGUAAGCCUAUCCUGGUGAUCAUAGCGCAGAAGCUUAUCAAGGAAAUCUAUGGCCUAAAAUGGAGAGGAAAAGGCCUCGUUGAGAAACCAGGAACAGGUUACUGCUAGUAAAGUAUACUUGAGAUAUAUAUGUAUUUUUGACAGACCUCAGGGGAUACUAGAUGCUGGUUGUCUGCAUUGAUAAACUUUGACCAGGGUUUUCUGCUGUGCCUGGGUGUGGAAAUUAUAGAAACUGUAAAUUAGAUGACAAAUAGAGAUCUUGCAUCAAAAUGACUGCUGGGUGGCAAUAUACCUUCCAACAAGGGCUUCAAGCUGAGGGUCAAGCUCAAUUCUGUACUUGUUCAAAUAAGCAUUUAGCCCAUCUGUUCCAAGUACCUGUGAAUACAGGGGUGUGGUCAGACUUUAGCGCUCAUGUCAAGUUCAAACAGGACUACACAGCUAGAGUAAAGCUAGUAAUUACAUGUGAGCAUGAACUCUAUGCCAAAUAACUUAUUUGCACAGAGUAAUCACUCAGUCACUAAGGUAAAUAAUAGCAAAUGAUAUAUGGCAACUCUAAAGAAUAUCAGAUGCCACCAAAACUAAUCCUUUUAUCAGUUAUAACUAUCUUUACAAAGAAUAAAAGGAAUAAACUGAAUAAGCACCUUUGCAAUUUUAACAAGUUGGUCAUGGUUGUCAUGGCCAUAGAAAAAUGGUUCCUUGCGGAAUAUCUGCAACCAACAAUACAUGAUUCAUAAGAUCAUCAACAGUUGAACAAAAAGUCUGAGAUACAAAAGAAAGCUAUGAAUAAUAUCAACUGUACUAUCAUGGCGGUCAUACCAUUCCAGCAAACAUGCAGCCAAGACUCCACAUGUCCAAAGAGUAGUCGUAAUCUUGCAAGUCAACAAGAAGCUCAGGUCCCUUGAAGUACCUAAAUCCCAGUGAAAAAGAAAAUGUCAGCAAAUAUUUUGAAAAUGAUCAUAUGGAAAUAUUUGGAAUAUGCAAGUUACAUAAUGGAGCAUUAACUACUGUACGAAGCAAAUCAUUCACCACAUCACUCAUUCUGUUCAUGUGUAUUAUGACGUUGAGAUUUCUACAAAUGAAAACAAAUAUUACCAAAAGAAAUACCCUUUCCACAUAAACUGUUGAUUUAAAUAAACUAAAUUUUGGCUGUGUAUUGCCUCACAAGUGACCAGAAGAAGACCAAUUGUUGGGAAGUGCACAAGCAAAUAAGGUUAUUUGGUAUCAAUAAGUAGGUUUAAGAUAAUUAAAUAGCAACAACGUAUUUCUAUGUACCUACCUUGAUGCAACACGAACGUUAUACUCCUUUCCAGGAUGGUAGAAUUCAGCAAGGCCCCAGUCUAUUAACCGGAGUUUUCGAAGCUCAUGAUCUAUCAUAACAUUGUGAGGCUUCACAUCUCGGUGCAUAAUGCCUUGUGAAUGGCAGUAAUCCAAAGCCUGCACAUGAAAAUGGAAACUGUGAUAAAUCAUAACUAGAAUAUAGGAUACGAAACAUCUAGGUCCAGCAAUCAAAUUAACAGCAACUUGUCUUGGUCUCCUCAAAAGAGGAAAAACGCUGACUGGUCCGGUUGCUUGUUAGCAUUGAUAAGGGAUUAUUCAUCCCUUACUAUCACAAAUAUCAUCCACGAACACAAGAAAGGGUCCUAGGAAAUGAGUCUAGCCAGAUGUUCAAACUAGACAGUUACACAUGUAAGUAUUUAAUGUAUCUUCAAGGCUUUAUAAGAAGAGCAAAAAAAGUUAUAGAUGUUUUAACAAUCAGUGUUCUUGGCAAUAUUACAUCAACAGAAACUUGGGAAAGAUUCAUACCUUCAGUAACUCAUAGAUAUAGUAGCGAAUGUCAUAAUCUGUCAAUGUCGGAUAUAGCACUUUGAAAUCUGUGUUAUUGAUGUAUUCAAAGAUCAAGCUUGGUGUUUUUGAAUGCUGAUCCCUGACAAUAUCAAGCAGCUUCACAAUAUUUGGACCUCCACAGAGAUUCUGUAGUAUUUUGAUCUCUCUUUUGAUCUGGAUAAGCAUGACAAACGUGAAAAAACUAAAAUCAUAGUUAAACCGUGACCAUAUAAGGCACAGAUAAGUUACCUUCUUCUUCUUCACAGGCUUCAGGAUCUUAAUAACACAUUUCUCAUUAUUGUUGACGUUGAUACCUUCAAAGACUUCACUGUAUUUGCCCCUUCCAACUUUCCGCACAACUUCAUAGUCAUCCUGCUCACUGAUUGAAAAACAUCAUAACAGUCAGAACUCGUCGCUGGAUGUACUGGUCCAUUAGGACAUUCUGUAAUUUAACAAUCACAUGAUAUCUUUGAGAGGGACCAGAAGUAACAAAUAACCACACCAUUCAAACCAAAUGGUAAGUGUAUUAUCCUUGUGGGGGCAGGGAUACUUGCAGCUGGCAUGCUAAAAGUAAUCAGUUUUGAUUGUUCCAGGCAUAGGAUUUUCUUUUCCUGUUUGUAUGAUGGAGAUCGAAGAGAAAACACCUAACUAUUUUAAAGAGAUCUCAUGACACUUUUGGGGUAUUGUUACAUCAAAAUAAAUGAGUACAUAUAUUUUCGUGCAAGACAAAGGUCAAAUUACCCAACUUCUACAAACUGAUGCUUCAUACUUGAGUUCUAUCCUUUUUCAUUAUAUAAAAAUAAGAGGGCAAUAAAACCCCAUGUCAAGCUCAAGGGAGGACAAAAAAAUGUCUGGGUCCCAAUGAGAAGUUACACAAAGGCGUAGCUUGUUACAAUUUCAAAUAUAGUUGCAUAUCACUGUAUUUAUUACACAUAUACUAAUUUACAAAUCAAGGUACUCCAACAGCGUAGAUAGUUCAGUGGAGCCUUAUUUAUCUCAUGUUGCUGAGCAGAAUUAUCAAUUCAACAGAAACAGAACAGGAGUAAAUUCUCGUCAGCAUAGGCCUUAAUGUAAAUGUGGUUUUUACUUGGAACAGCUGCUUUGAGAUUAAAAAUAGGCAUGAUAUGAUAAUUUUUGGAAAAUACAACCAUAUAUUAUCUGAAAAACUAGUGCUAACACGAAAUAAUCAGUCCAGCUCAAUCAACAAAGUGUGACACUAAUAGAGCAGCACACUUUCCAAGAAGGGGAAAACACACGAACUAGCAACUGUUCAAAACAAUAAAAUUAGAACAUAUAGAGGUCAUGGACAGUGUUCGUUCCACUUGGGUGCUGGUGUUGUAGUCCAAGGCAGGUUCAAGUGCCCAAUUUGCCAAUUCAGCAAAAUAUUUGGACAGGGAGAAUAUUGCUGGUAAAUGAGCGCGGGUGACAGAAUCUGACAUUUGGAUUCGGGUGCUCAAUUUGUGGAAAGUUAAUGAAAGUCCACUAAAGAUGUACAAAACUAUGAAUAAUCUGCCAAAGUCCACGUAAGAUGUACAGACGCAUAAUUUCGUACUGAACUACCAAAAGUAUCACGAAACAAUGAGAUCGAGUAAGUGACUACUGAAGUCGGAUAUAUUGUAGCGAAGCAAUCAAGCAACUGCCGGAAUUAUCUGAGCAAGCACAUCUGGCAACUCCCUCUCUCAAUCUACAACACGCGGGCCCUCUCUAACCGCACGGCACAGUCACGCUCGUGCCUGACAAGACCUCCGAAGACGCAUCGAGAAGUCGAAGCGCCAUUGUAUGUAGUCCCUGAACUGCCUCGCAACGAACAGACGAAAAGGAUCCACGACACGCAGAUGCGCCACGGGAACGAAAAGGAAAAAAAAAGAACUUGAGAGUUAGGGCGAGGUUGGCUACGGGCGGAUUCGACUCACCCCCACUGGACGGCGAGGGCCUCAUAAUCCCAGUACUCCUUGGGGCGCACCACGUUAACGUCGGCGUAGACCCUGGCCUUUGACAUGGCUGAAGACGAUCCGGAUCCCGCGGGCGGGCGACGGAUCAGAGAGAUGGGAGGGCUCGGAGGAGUUUGGUGCUUUCUCGGCGGCGCGUCCGUCAAGCGGACAUCGCCGGCGGCGAGAUGGCGCUAGGGUUUCAACAAGUACGAUUGGUUUUCCUGAGAAACAUGUUUUUGGGGAUAUUGUUUUGGGGAUGUAGGUGGGGGGCGUGGGAGAAGCGCGGUAAGUGCAACUGACAGGUGGGUCCAUGGGGUGCGCGAAAGGAGCUCGUGUUGGGACCCAACUGGCAGGUGUAUCGUGGGCCCAAUCCGAGCUAAGUGUCAAAAAAAGCUCUUAUAUAUUAAUAAGGCACCUUCAAGACGGACCACAAACCACCCCAUCCGUCCGGACAGCACUGUCCGGACCGUGGGAGACAUCCAACAUGGGCUGUAUUGGUCCACGAGGCGAUCCGGACGCAGUUUUUAUCGCAAAACGGAGACAAAAGUGAGGAAGCUUUGCGGGAGUCCCGACGCGCGAAACAUAGGAAUCCGAUCCCAGGCCCACCCAAAACAUUUCCGGACCCCGCGACUCCAUCAUCCUCAUUUUCUCUCAUGCCUUCUUUCUCUCUUGUCGUCGCUGCCGCUCCACCACCCCUGCCACCAUGCCACACCCCUGUCGGAAAUCUGCGUCUCCGUCACCUUCAACGCUCCGACAGGCCUCCACCCCGCUUCUCCUCCGUCUUCGUUCAACCCCUGUCCUCCGACCGCCCCGCCAGGUACCAUCCGCUACUGUUAUUCUCACCAUGCCCGACAACUGUUUGAUGUAUCGCCGGAGCUGAAAACAGGUGUCCCUUCUUCUUUCUAGCAAUGGAUUCCGAUUUGGAGUACAUAUACGAGAAGUGUGUUAAGUCGUUCAAUGGCUCGUCAGACGAGGAGUACACCGAUGAGACAGCGAUUAUGCAAGUGGUCCUUUAAGACACGGAGCGUGCGGAGGAGCAUGUUCUCAAUUUCAAGAGCUCGAUCAAGGGUCAUCGAGUGCUCAGCUGCAACACGGUGCGCGGCCAUUUGACACUGAUGGCCGACUACUUUGUCCCUGAUGUCUGGUCCUACGAUGACUACAUCGUGAAGAAGAACGCCAUGGAAAGAUUGGCUUCUCUGGUUACCAGAAGUGCAUGGUCGCACUCCGGAUGCUUGCAUAUGGCACGACCACUGAUUCGUGGGACGAGUAGCUACGGAUUUCUGAGAGCACAUGCGGAGAUGCCAUUGUCAGGUUUGCAACUGCCUUGGUCGAGGUGUUCGGACCUCAGUACCUGAGAGAAACAAUGGUGGCAAAUGCCGAGAGGCUCCUUGCAAUCUCAGAAGCAAGAGGGUGGCCAGGUUUGCUUGGAUCUCUUGACUGCAUGCAUUGAAAAUGGAAGAACUGUCCGAAGGCUUUACAUGGGCAAUAUUAGGGUCAUGUUAACAAUCCCACCAUCAUUCUUGAAGUACUUGCAUCACAUGAUCUUUGGAUUUGGCACGCUUUCUUUGGCAUGCCCGGGUCUAACAAUGCACUGGUACAGCGAGCUGCUAUACAAACGGUUUUUAGCCCCUUUCUGCGACAGCAUUUUAAACCGUCGCCUAGUGAGUGUGGGCGAUAUGGGGUCCUUCCCACACGACCCAGAAACCGUCGGGGAUAGGUAGUAGGAAUGCAUACGUUUUGCAUAACUAAGCGUAUGCGAUGCAGGCAUCUAUCCCAAACGCGUUCUUCACACAAUUGUUUGUGAUAUAUCAAAUAUCCCAAACGCUCCAUCUUUGCUAUUCGUGUGUGCUGGCAUUACCAUUGCACGCGCUAUUAUGUGGUGCAACAUUUACGAUGCGCACUCCGUCACAAACAGUUCAUGAUUGCCAAGCGUGUGCGAUCAGGAGACUAUCACACAUAUUCACUUCUCCCGAACCGUAUGAGAUCUGUAAUUAAGAAGAUUACCUAAUCAUCGUAUGAGUGUCGGAUAGGAUUACGAAACGUCGAACCGUCGUAGUAGUGUCGUACAGGAUAACUAUCGCACACGCUAUUAUGUGGUGCAACGUUUACGAUGCCUACGACAUCCCAAACAGUUCCUGAUUGUAAACCGUGUACGAUAAGGCGACUAUCACAAACAUUUAGUUUGCUCGCACCGUUUGUGAUAUUGUCUGACAUCACACACGCUUCUCAAACGACAACUGUGUGCAUGGUCGCACACGUUUCCUCUCUGCAAACCAUCUCGAAAGUACAUGUAUAUCACACACGUUUGUGCUUUACAGACUGUGUGCGUCGUAACGACCUGUAGAGCAUAUUUCGACCCUAACUAAAUCGCUGCUAUUUAAAAUUGUACCGAAUUUGAAUUUGAAAGUUAGCUAUAACUUUAUUCAUAUCCAUCAGGUUAAACAACCAAUGCAUUAUUCGAUUCACAGAUACACAUGUUCAAGAAUUACAUAAGCACCAAAUAAAGAAUGAUGAACUAGGGUUGUAUACUUGUACUAUUAAACACGGUAAAGAAAGAUGCAAAAGACAUUCUGGUUGCUGAACAAGGUGAAGCGGGCAUAUGCCCGUAUUGUGCUCUCCUCCAUGCAGAAGGCACGCAUGACUCAGUCCAACCCCUUGUGAUGGUCGACCGCCUAUCCUUCACUGUCUUCAUGUCUCAUGAGGACAUCUAGAUAAUCAUUGUGUUGUGGUAGAAAUACUUUAACCUUUGCUUGCCCACCAAUUAUGUAGUUUGAGAGGUAGUCUUGAGUAAACUGCUUCGAGAACCACUGCAAAGGAAAAAGAUUCAUACAUUGUCAUCUAAAACAACUCAUUAUGGGCAGUAAAAAGAAGGCUACAGAGUUCUUAUUUACCUUGUUGCGGUUCACUAUUGUCUUGCAUAAAGUGUAAACAAAUAGUUCGAUUGACAUCUUUUGACCCAUUUUAAUAACAAUGUUUAUCAGUUCCUCUCUUGAAGUUGGUUCAUGAAUAUCUCAUUGCCCCAUACGCAGAAAGGGCCGAAGCACGGAUCUUUACCAAUGACAUGUACCUAAAAGCACCAAGUUAACAUUAGAAGCUAAACAACAUUGCAAUAUGGUGUAGUACAACACUCCCUCCGUCCCAUUAUAUAAGAUCUUAUAGCAUCCAAUAUAUUCACGACGUGGAUGAAUAAACAUCUUAUAUUAUGGGGCGAAGGGAGUUUAUUACAUUUCUACAAAUAUCAGCCAAUUAACUACAGUUAACGGCUGCUGUGUUGUUGGUGUUCUUGCUGCUCUUCUAUGUAUAUCUAGACAUCAUCAGAACAUUAAGGUAACACUCUUGGUUUGAGACUACGUUUGCCAAAGGUUGCCACACCUAAGCUUAGGAAAGUUUGACCAACUUAGGUGUGUGUUUGGUUCAAGCCACACUAUGUUCCCACAUCACAUGCACUCAAAAAGUGUGACAAGAUUCUCUUAGGCGUGCCAACUUGUGGCUCUCGUUUUGAAGAACUAACCCGUUGGCAAGUUUGACAACAUUGUAUGGUAAUGUGUGGCACUCCUAGGCUUAGAACCAAAAAACCCUUCCUUGUUGCUGUGUGGCCUAGGAUUGCAUAUUUAGUCAUUCAGUACAAUGCAUCUUGCUAUGUAGCCUCAGAUAUGUUAGGUAUGGCCCUAGUUAACCUACCGAUAAAUGGGUUAUACAUAUAUUCAGAUAAAUGUCCGAUUGAACGAUUAAUCCCUCAUCAACCCUCGACCUAUAUGGUACCCACUACCAAUAUCCUGAACAAUGAGUAUAAGCCAUGGGAUGAAACUAACCUCGAUGGUAAACAGCAGAUGUUUCCAAUAUUGUCAUGUGCAUGCUAAGCACAACAGGCUAAACAUCAACCAAAUAUAUCCAUGGUAGAGAACAUAAUCUCCGAAUGAUAGCUUCAUGGUGAAGGUUUAAGCACGCUAGUUAAGAAAAGAAGAAGUGGAAAGGUGUGUUAUUAACUACAACAGGCCUAAUAUUUAAAAACAAGCAAACAUAGUCAUUCAAACUUGUAUUGUGCAGGUUUAAGUACACUAGUUAUUGUUAAAUCAAAUGGAAAGGCGUGUUAAAUACUCCCUUCGGUCCUUUUUACUCUGCAUAUAAGAAUUGUCUGAAGUCAAACUUCAUAAAGCUUGACCUUAUUUAUAUGAAAAAAUAUCAACAUCUACCAUGCUAAAGUUAUACAAUAUGAAAAUUUAAGUCAUGACACAUCUAAUGAUAUUGAUUUCAUAUUGUAAAUGUUGGUAUUUUUUCUAUAAAGUUGGUCAAACUUUACGAGGCUUGACUUUAGACAAAUCUUAUAUGCGAACUAAAAAGGGCCGGAGGGAGUACAACAUGCUUAACAACAACCAAAUAUAGUCAUUCAUAGAGCUAUUGUUAAAAUUGGUAUUGAUGAAGUUGAACUGCACCGUUCAUACUAGCACACAUAGAACAUCACAUUGUGAAUAGCUAAAAUAAACAAGGCAUACUACAAACAACCAAAGAUGGCAAUUGAAACUGGACAUAUGCUAACUACAAACAACCGAACAACCAAAAACCAUAGAAAUAAACAUGGUGUAAUGCAAACAACCAAAUAUAGCAAUAAAUAUUGGAUAGGUUCUCACUACAAAAGGAGUUCAAGAAAACAAAUCAUGGAAUUCCCCCAGUGAAGAGGCACGACAAAACAAAUCAUGGGUUUCCUCACUUGUCACAGAUUGGCUCCUCUCGUGGUCGUCGUCGAUAAGGUCUGACUUGGCAGCUGAGGAUCCCAAGCUAGCGUCACAGAACGUGUCCUUCAGAAAUGACAAAAGGGGCUCCAUGGAGAUGAAGGGUGGCAAAUUGUUCAUAAUGAGCCGCAGGAGAUCAGCGGCAGGGCCAUCGAUGAGUUCGACGGCUGUCGAACCCGAGGGAUUGGGGGUGGGCAACUUAACCUGUGACAUUGCCCGCGUCAAGCCAUCACUGUCGAUGACCUCCAUGUCGUAGCCGGUGUCCACUACAUGCAGAAUACUCUAGACUGCUGAUUGAAAGGUUGCGUCCAAUCAUCAUUGUCAGCUUCCUCGGCUGUCACCUCGCCGACGUCGGGCGAAGAGGCCGCGGUAAAGCUCUUUUGGCCCAUUUGCUCCUCGAGCUCCUUGGGAAGCGUAGCCGGGCUUAGGUUGCGACGCUCUGGAGUGGGGGAGGGGUAGGGAUGGGGAUCUGAGGGAAAGGGGGCGUUUCGCAGGCGUCAUCUAAGAAACUCAGGGCGGCGAGGGUAUGUAUAUCGGUGGGUAACCUACACAGGCAGACCAGCACAGGUUGAGGAUGGAGGUGGCGCAGCGGCGACGGCGGUGACCUAGCUAGGUUUCGAGGGAGGGAGGGAGGGGUGGUGUGUAUGUGUGUGAGCGGGGGAUUUGGGGUGUGUGUGUGUGGAGGGGGUCCAAGGUGGUGUUUGAGGAAAUGCCACGGGUACUGAAUAUUUUACUAGGCGGGAGUAAAAUGGUGGGGCUACCGAAAAUUUGGAUCACGGGAUUGAAGUAGAGCGGGGCGGGAGUAACAAACAUCACACACGGUUAAAACUUAAUAAUCGUGUGCUAUCAAACAGAAAAACACUCCAGCCGAGCAGAUAUUUUUGAGAUUUCGAAGGAUGCAGACAGGAGUAAUGUCGGGGCUACUGAAAAUUUGGAUCAACUGAUUGAAGCAGAGAGGGAGUAUCAGACAUCGCACACGGUCCACACAUACUAAUCGUGUGCUAUCAAACAGAAAAACCCUCUAGGCGGGUAGAUAUUUUCGAGAUUGCGAGGGGGUAGAUAUUUUCUAGGGCGGGAGGGAAGCCUCGUGGAGCCCAAUCUACUGUGAUGAUGUGGGUGACGGGGGUAGGGGCGCGACACACGGGUAGUCCCAGGGAUCCGUGUCUAUUGCGUACCCGAUCGCAGACGGUUGUUGCAUCUGACUCGCCUGCUAUUUAUAAAUUUGGCGAAAAAACACGGGAAAGGGUCAGAAUACGAACACACUUGCAUGUUGACCAAAUAUAUGUAUGAAAAGGGUGGUUUGUUGUUUAAAUACCCAAUGCACAACUUUGAUGCGGCACCUGUCGCACAAAGCACACGUUAUUAUUGCUAGCCCCCCCCGGCACACACACUUCGUGUUGGCGGGAGGGGAAUCCUAGCUAUGAAUGCAUCCCCCCAAAUAGCUAGGUCUGACAUCUCACCCUACCGUAACACAAAACCGAAAGGAGUGCAUCAUGGUCAACCCCUCCCUAUUGCUUCCGAUCAAACAUGCAACUUGUGCAGGCCCACAGAUGUGUUCUUGUGGCGUGAGAUGGGUGAGACCAGAUGCGAACCACACCUGCGGGUGGCCCGAUGUGCGUGUGUGUGUGAAAAUGGUAUGGUGUGAUAUUUAAAUAACCAAAUCACAAAUUUGAUGUGGCACAUGUGUGUCGCAAAUUAACCGGACAUCCCUGACCCCACGGAGGUUCAUCUAGUGCGAAGUAGUACUAUGUGCCCCCCACACACACACUUUGAGUCGGUGGGAGGGGGCAUCUCACCAAGGCGUAUUGUAACACUGACUAAGAAGAAUCACCACCUUGGUCGUAUAACCUCUCUCGUUGUUGGGUCAAAGCCAUGCAUGGACGUCCACACGCGGCCCCACAAAUAGGCUAGCUUGUCGCUAAUAACCACGCGAGGGAGUGCCUGAAGACAACCACUACGUGCAUGUGGCCCAAACAUAUGUAUGAAGUGUUAUGUGGUGUUUGAAUAUACCCAAUGCACAACCUUGAUGUGGCACUAUGCUUUUGGAACCGGAAAGUCCCCACACGGAGCGAGGGUUCACGACGCUUAUACUAUAUAUAUAGGGAUUCAUGUGUAUGCAUGCCCUCAAACUUAGGUCUCGAAUCUCACCAUGAUCGACAUACGACUAUACAAUAACGUGAACCAAGAGAAGAAGAAUCCACCCUGGUAACCUCUCUCGUGUUGUUGGUCGAAGUGAUGGAUGUCCACGCGGGCCCACGAAUAUAUAGGCCGUUGAUGAUAACCAAGCGAGGGAGAGUGUCCAAAGACAACCACUGCAUGCAUGUGCCCCAAACAUAUGUAUGGACAUGCGUGAUGGAUGCAUAUAUGUUUGAAUACCAAAAGCACAACAUUUUGAUGUGGCGCAUGCAUGCGUCGAAAAUUGCACAGUCCCCACAUAGAUUUGGUUCAUGGCGCGUCGUGUGCUCGUCCUCCCCCCACUUCGAUCCGGUGGGAGGGAUUCAUGCGUACACAUGCGCUCAAAGUAUAAUACGUUAUCUCUCACAUCAUGACAUACAUGUACCGUACCAUAUAAGGCGAACCAAAAUUUAAUCCCCUCCUAAUUAUAAGUCAAAAUAACCUCUAUUGUUGUCGGUCAAAGUGAUUGACGAAGCGGGCACACACAGAUGGACGAAGCAUCUCGCCGAUAACCCCGUGAGUGAGUGCUAGAGGACAACCACCAUCGCUUGCAUGUGGGCCAAACACAUGUAUGGAGAUGUGUGGUUGUGAUGUUUGAAUACCUAAUAUAUAUGCAGAACUUUUGAUGUUGCACCUGCCUCGAAAACCUUAAAUUCCCCCACACGAAGCGAGGUUCAUGAUGUACAGUAUAUGCUGGCCCCCCUCCCCUCUUCGACGCGUAAUAUAUACUCCUACAUACCGUAACACAACCCGGAAAUCAUCCUGCUUGUUCAGAAAAUUACCUUUCUCAUUGUGUCAUAUAUUAGAUGGACGACGACCUCGUGGGCCCAUGGAGGGAAGCGUCGCAGGAGAGUGAGUGACAAUCAUCGUCUGCAGGUGGCCCAAGGUGUUGGUGAUGUUUUAAUACCCAAUAUGCACAACUUCUUUGUGGCACCUACCUCAAAAACCGAAAAGUCCCCACACAGAGCGAGAUCGUUCAUGACGUGUGUGUAGCAUGUGCUGCCCCCUCCUCCCCUCUUCAACGCAUACUAUAUACUCCUACCGCAACACAACCCAAAAAGAAACCUCCUUGUUGGUCAAAUUAACCUCUCUUGUUGGGUCAAAGUGAUGGAGGACAACCUCGCGGGCCCACGGAUGGAAGCAUCGCACGCGAGUGACUGUCCUAUAUGAUGCGUAGUAUAUUGACGCGUACUAUAUAUACUCCUACCGUACAUAACAAAAACCAAAAAAAAUGACCAUCCUUGUUGGUCAAAUUAACCUCUCUCACCGCAGGUCAUAGUGCUGGAGGUUGACCUCGCGGGCCCACAGAGAGAGAUCACACGCGAGUGAGUGUCCUAGGACCACCGCGUGCAUGUGGCCCAAAGAUGCAUGUCAAACUUUUUCUGCAGCGAAAAUGCGACCAAAGGAGUUUAGUGUUAAAAAUUGAAAAAAUAUAUAGAUAACAUUUGUCCGUUUUUAUACAUGAUUGAUUUCCUAGGGAUUUAAUGUGCAAAAAUCAAAUUUUAUCUACAUGAGACCCGUGAUAGUGCACCAAAAUGGAUUGGAAAAUCAUAUGGGUAUGUGUCCCUGGGUGCAUGUUUAGUCCCCAUGCAAGAAAUUUCUAACAUCAAGAAUCUUGAUUUGAAAAUCCAGUAAAUCCAAAACUAAGUUUAAAUUCAUGAAACUUAUCAUGGUGUCAUAUGGACACCAAUAGACUGUGAUAUUAUAUUUAUUUUCCAAAUUUGAGACAAUUUUGGUAUAAUCUUCUUACAGACGUCAAGUCUUUUUUUCUGCUUUAUCCUUCUCUCAAUCAAAGAAAGGGAACGCAGAUGUUCUGUCGCCCUCUCUUCGUAUGCCACCAGCCUUCCUCUCAAAACCAUAUUGAUCCGAUCUUGCGCAGAUAGGUAGGGACGAUCCCUCCAAUAACCAGGAAAUUAUCAAUAAUUAUCAAUCAAUAUCGCAAACAGACUCUUUAUUCGAACCGUGUGCGUUAGACCAACAUUGUAUGUGUCGUGCUUCGAUUAAGCAAUAAAGCGGCAGAAUUAAUGAUCAAAAAGGAAAAAUCAAUAUAAUACGUGCCGCCACGCGUCCCGUGUGCCGUACAAGCAUGCGUGAGUUGACGAGACGCAUGCUAGUAGUCCACCGCGCAGGCAGACCGGGAGGCCGAGGCUUGCGCGUGUUCGCUACGUAGUGUCACCUGGGGGCGUGCUAAUAGCUGUGUGAAAUGACGGUAGGCAUGCCAGCAAUCCGCUAUGCAGGCUCACCGGGAGGCGAGCCAGCCCUUUGACCGCCGCCCUCCUCUCUCCCACUGCUCCAUAUUAAUGACGCGCCCGAUCCGCUGGUCAUAAUAGGCGGCCGCACCCCUCAUCCACAGUUGUCACCGCCGCAUGGAGUGUAUUAGGAUUUUGUCGAAGCGCACCAUCGGAGGGAGUGGCGACGCCGGGGCUGGUGAAGCACCCGCGCAACGCAUGAAGCUGUGCACAGAGGUUGUUGUUGCCGCCGACGAGGUCUCACGCGGGCAGCAGCGCAACCUUGACUUCGUCGCCGUCGUCGUGCCUCCCCAGCCGAAGCCGGAGGUCCACAGCUACUCCGACAAUGACUCCGACGGAAAACUAGUUAGUCCCCCCUUCUUUUAUUGGGAAUAGAAAUCCUUGGUUAUGUUCACCUAAUCCAUGAAAUCAGAGUAAGAUUCGUUAGAUCCGUGUAGUGUAUUGAUUGUUUGAAUGAUAUCUAUGGUUAGUGAUUAAUUGUUUGUUCUGUACAAAUGAUUUUUUUGCUAAUAAUCCGACUAGGGUUAGCGUGCAUGCUAAUAAUUCGUAGCCAGAUCUUGAGAAUUGAUUUUGAAUGUCCUACAUGUAUGUUUUUUUUUCUUUUUUCAGAUUGGCAUGUACACAGAUGAGGCUCCGGCCAGCGGCACCGCCGGCUGUAGAUCCUGCAGCGGGCAGCACGGGCAGAAGCAGCCACACCCUGGAUACGAGGAACCCGUAGAAUAUCGAGCGGACCGCAUCAGCGAUCUCCCGGACGCCAUCCUUAGGGAGAUCAUCUUCCUUCUCCCCACCAAGGAUGGCUGCCGCACACAGGUCCUCGCAUCUCGUUGGCGCACUCUGUGGCGCGGCGCGCCUCUUAAUCUCGACUAUCACUGGCUAUCUAUCCUUCAUGAUUUUGAACUCCACGGAGUCAUCAUCUCCUCCCACCAGGGCUCCGUUCAAUGCCUAUGCAUCCUGACAUGCUGCCUGCUGCACAUACCCUACACGAUGGACGCAUGGCUGACAUCCCGUCAAUUAAAAAAACUCCAGCAUCUUGAGUUCUACCAUUACUAUGCAAAUAGCUUCCCCCCAAGCGUUGUAGCUUUGCCCUCACCACCGAUGUCCAUCUCAUGGUUUUCCUCCUCUCUCCACACCACCACCUUGGCCCAGUGUCAUAUAGUAGACAAUCUGGUACAAAUGCUUCAACUCUCACUGCUAAAAAAACUCGCGCUUGUGGUGAUCAAUCUGUCGGAGGCCUCACUGCACAACAUCAUCCACUCCUGCUGCCCUGCCCUGGAGCGCUUCUGCUUGUUUUUGGAAAAGAAACAUGUAUCCGUUGUCUCCAAAUAAAGUCGCCUCACCUUGUAAGCAUUGGAAUUUGCUUUAAAGGAGAGGAGCUCAUCACCAAAGAUGCCCCUUCACUCCAAAGGUUGCUCCUUGAUUAUUGGUGUGCCCUUCGCAAAUAACUGUGGUCUCUGCGCCUAAACUGGAGACCUUGGGUGUAAUUCCUGAUUCGCUUGAAGGUUACAAGAUGGUGGUUGGCUCCACACUUAUUCAGGCACUGUAUAUUAUCAUCAACACUUUUGUAAUCAUAAGCUGCAUUUUUCAUUUGUGUGCAUAAGUUUUAUAUCAUCAACACUUUUGUAAUCAUAAGCUGCAUUUUUCAUUUGUGCGCAUAAGUUUUAUAUCAUCUUGGAGUACACUUUUGGUACUAAUAUUAUGUUCUAUGCUCAAUGAGAGUUUGUCCAUGGAUACCCUAUCAAUGGUGCUGGGUUUUGUCAAGACCUUAUGUAUCAGUAUGUGGUGUUUUGAUUUGAACACGUUUAUCGGCUUACUGCGAUGCUUUCCAUGUCUGGAGAAUUUGUAUAUACAAGUGAUGAUUUCAAGCACAUCGAAAGCCCGUAUAUAAUUUACUAGAAUUAAUCGUUCAGUUGUUGCUCUUUCAACAUACUCUUUUUUUAGAAAUUAACUGUUUUCAGUCUUCAUGUCUAUUUAGGCAGAAGCACAUGGACAAAACGGUAUAACCAAUCGGUGGAAUAAGAAGCACCAGGAUUUUCUCAGUUCUCAUGACAUUCGUUUGAGGACAAUAAUGCUAGAAGGAUAUGCAUCCAACCAUGCAAACACUAGCUUUGUCACAUUCUUCCUGUUGAAUGCGAGGGUACUAUUGUCCAUGAGGAUUAAGGUUUUUAACAAAAACAUUCUCAUGGAUGGACACGUUGAACAGCAUAAAAAGAAGUUUCAGGUGGACAAAAGGGCUUCUGAACGUUCUCGACUUCUAUUUACAACAACUUGUCUUCAUGUACUAGUAGAUUUUCUCGACCAGGAUCUUGAUUUUAUGGAUCAUACCGACCCAUUUGAUUGUGAUUGCCGAAAACUUUGGUUAAGUUAGAUGUUAUUGUCCCGUUCAAUCUGGAUUUUGUGUAAACCUGAUGAAAUUAAUCAUCGUGCUUUUGUACCUUUUUGUAAGCUGGAGUUGGAUAUCGUUGUCCUUUUCAACUCGGCUUUGACCCAUAUUUUCUUUCAUACAAACCAGAGCUUCUAUCAAGAAGCCUCAUGUUCAAGGUUGUCAGAAUCGUGAUUUUGAAUCGGAUCGGAGCUUUGAUGGUAGGAUUGCAAAUCAUAGAAUCUUCACUAUUAAGAUCGUAGAAACGUAGAUUCUAAAAACUAAAAUCAUAGAAACAUAGGGGUUAGUUUGGAUCGUAAAGUCGUAGAAUCGUACAACAAAAUCGUGAUUCUGAUAGCCUUGCUCAUGGUUCCGAGAGGGAACUUGGUCACCUGAUCUGUGUGCGAAACGACAUACGCUAUCUCUUCCCGCCUUGAUUUAUUUUACAGAGGCAACAUGCAACUGUACUAAAAAUAUGAAAUUAUUCAGGGUUUGUUUCGCUAUUUUAUACAUUGAUUUUCCUAGGUAUUUUUAAAAAAUACCCACCACGUUAUUAUUGCAAAUGGUCAUAUUUGUCCAGCCAUGGGCGUUCAACUAACCAUUUACUACCGCGGGCAGUUGUUUGAUUAGACGGGACGACUGCGAGCAGUCUGCCGCGCACGCUCACUGUACCGGGAAGCGAGCCGCGAGCGCUGCAAUUUAUUGCUGGUUUUGGACUUUUGUUUUGGCCGCCUCGGGAAGGUAUGUAGAACAGUCCUCCAUUCUCAUCUACAAGCACCGCAUCCAAGGAUUGCCGCCUGUUGCCAGAUGGAGGACGAGCUGGCCAACAAGCGGGGGCGGGUCGAGCCAGAACCGCAAGAGCCUUCGGCAAACAUGGACUUCAUCAGCAGCCUCCCUGACGAGAUGUUGGUAACCAUCAUAUCCCAUCUCCCCAUCAAAUCUGGCGUGCGGACCACUGUCUUCUCGCGGAGGUGGUGCCCCCUCUGGCACUCCACCCCCUGGACCUCAUCAUCGACGACGAGUUCUAUAGUGGGAGCGGCAACGCCUGGACGCAUUGUCCCACGUCCUCGCCACGCACCCUGGGCCGGUUAGAUGCCUUGCUAUCGACAGGUUCAGUCCCCACUGCAAGGCCGAACCCAGGUUUCACUACUAGUUCCUAUCCCCAGCCCUGGAUCGGCUUGAGGAGCUCAGCUUUCAUGUUGGACGUCCGCGCUCGCUGCCGCCGUCCGCGCUCCACCUCGCGCCCAUGCUGCACCGCACUACAUUCACGCAGUGCAUUUUCCCCCGGAUUGAUGCCGUGCGCGCUCUUCAUCUCCCUAAACUUAAGCACCUUGAGCUCAUGGUCGUCCGCAUCUCGAAGAAGGAUUUGGAGCGCCUACUCGUCGGCUGUACAUCGCUCGAGUACCUUCGUCUUCAGGCGAUGGAUGGGUUCAGUAGCCUCCACAUCACCUCGACGAAUGUCCGUGCGAUUUAUGUGCAUUGCUGGCACCGCCCAAGGCUGUCAGUUGAAGUGUUUCAUGAUACGGUCAUUGAGAAUGCGCCUUUCCUCGAGAGAUUGUAUGUACUUGAUAAAUUAGGUCCAACAAGAAUCAGGGUCAUUCACGCACCGAAAUGACAGUUUGGGCUAUUCGUGUGCUGAAUUCAACGAACUUGUUACUAGAUCAUUAUCCUUUCAGGUACAACAGUCGUCUUCUUCUCCUUCUUAUAUAUCAUCAGACAUCACAUUUUGUCUAAUUUUUGUUGAUCUAUAUGUUCGCCUGUCAUCCAGAAAAUGAUUGCCACAAGCUUGACCCGUCCUCUACGCACAGUGAAGAUCCUGGCAUUACAAUCUGUCAGCCCCGAUCUGGAUGAAGUUGUUAGAUUCCUUAGAUGUUUUCCUUGCACAAAGAAGCUAUACAUCGAGGUGAUGCUCAUUUCCUGUUAAUUGUUAACCACAACGGAGCUCAAUUUGUUGUUACUUUUACCCAUGAUUACAAAGACAAAAGUAGAAUGAUUUCUAAAGGAAAUUUGGAGGAUUUCGAUACAUAUUUUUUUUAGAUGUUAAUUAUGAAAGAUUGAAGGUGGCAUUUUCACUCUUUUCGUGUAUUUUAUAAAUCCUGCAAAUCAAAGAGGCCCGAAGUGUUCAAAUCUGUAGCUAGGCACUAAUAUGUCGUUUUCGUUUGCAGAUACUAGCAGGCCCGAAAAGUGGAAAAUGUUGGGGAAUAUAACAAUCCCAUUGAAUGCCUUGAUCUUCAUCUCACAUAAAUCACUUUAAACGAGUAUCGAGGCACCACACUAGAAAUUAAAUUCACCAGGUUCUUUGUUGAGAAAGCAAGGUUGCUCAAGGUAAUGAGGUUUGCCCUAUAUUUACUGCACAGAAGUGAAUGGAUUGCUAAAGAGCGCAGGUGUCUACAGCUGAAUGGAAAAGGCUCUCCGGGAGCUGAAUUUCAGCUUGUAACUUCAUAUGAAAGAUUAUUCGGAAGUCACUGCAUCAAGCCGCUAUAUGACUUCUCGGUGGCUGAUCCUUUCGUAGAAAUAAUGUAUGAAAAAGAUUCUGAAGAAGAUGAAUUUUAUUUGUCAGAAUAGUUUGAACCUUGUAAUCUUUGAAUUUGGGCUUGUAAUGCUGGAAUUUGAACCUUGUAAUAUUUAUGGUAUUUGUUAUAUAACGUAGUUGGAUGUUUAAUUUGGUUUUGCAAUCAUGUCCUCUUAUAAGUAUAUUUAUGGUAUUCGUAAUUGGAGUAUGUUGUUCUUCUGUAGACAGAGCAUAGAUGUAGUGCAAACAGAGCAUAUCACAUCACAUGCGGACAACAGUAGGGAACCAGUCGGUGAUAAAUUCAUCAAUCGAAGACGGUUGUACCAGCAAGCGUUUUCCCACAACACACACGGCUUAUUCCAUCACAAAUAGCUCGGAUGGAUCAACUGUAUGCCACGUAUCGCACACGCAACUCUAAUCUGAAUCGUGCUUGAUGUCUCCGCCAUCGCUCGCACAGUUCGUCUUAUUUGCCACGUAUCACUGUGUCAGCCUCUGCUCGCGUCCCUCGGCGCGAUCUGCUCGUCGUUAGGCGCCGCGGCGCGCUCUGCUCGCGUACCUACACGGGCUCGGCUUGUCGACAACUUUUCCUUCCGUGUUCAACUGAUAUAUGGAUAUAUAUGGUUUCUCGCCAUUGAGGCGGUUGCGGAGCGUUCUGCUCGCGUCCCUCCACGUGCGCUCUGCCAACAGUUGGGGCCGGAGCACGAUCAUGUUGGGGGCCCCCAUAUGCAUGCGGUUGCACCGUGCGCGUCGCCACGACGCAGUUAUGUGCGACACGAUGGAGUUACGCGCUGCAACUAGAACUGCCAUCCGGGCGUGCCGAUAUUCCAGGCCGUCCGGCUUCCCCAUUAAUUCCCGCGGCCAUUAUAACCUUAGUCUCUUCAACCUUUCGAUCGCGCCCCACAACACAACAAGCACACCCACGACGACACAUACAGAGAGGAUAUCUAGCGGUGCUCCAAUAGAGUUCAGCGAGCAUAAAGUGGAGACCCACACGAGGGAGACGAAUCUCUCGGUGGAGGACUACAUCAACACCGUGGAGCAGUUGCUUGCUCGAGACAAGUACAAGGUGGUCGGCAUCGACCUCCAGUACACCGGCGGUCAUCCCAGCAAAGAUCAGAAGGUUGUCGUCGCCCAGUUGUGUGCGCCAUCAUGUCCUCAUCUACCACUACUGCAUGGCCAUAGAGCCUUGCGACCGUUUCGCCAGGUUUAUCAACAACAUUGACUACAAGUUCGCUACGGUGAAAACCUCUGACGAUGUAAAAGCGCUCAUGGUUACGGGCUUAGCCUGCAAGAACCUUGUCGAAAUCCGUGAACACUACAGGGUCCGGGGCAGUACGGAGAAGGACUCCCUGGUUGAACUCGCCUUGGCCAUCAUCGACCCCUACUACGAAAAGAUGAAGCAAGAUGCCAACAGAACACGUCCCGUAUCCUGGCUACGGGCCUGGAUGCGGCAACUAGAUGAACCUCACCUCAGGUUCGUGGCCAAGAGUGCGUACACAUGCUACGAGAUGUACAGGCGGAUCGUUGGCAUGAGGAAGUGCCUCCUUCCCAAAAUUGACGAGGCCGGAUUGGUACACAAGCAGAGCAGUAGCGACAAGCGUCACAAGAAGUAGAUGAUGAUCAUAUGAUCGUUUAUCCUAGUUAAUUAUGCAUGUAAUAUAUAAUUUACUUUGGUGUGUGGAAAUGUCACGUGUGUAGUAGCCACCUAUGUAAUUAUGCAUGUAAUAGUUUACUUUGGUGUGUGCAAGUGUCAUGUGUGUAGUAGCCACCUAUGUAAUUGGAUGUUAAUUUGGUUAUGCAACCAUGUCCUUAUAAGUGUGUGUGUGUAUGUGUGUGUAUAUGAUGGUGUUCUGUAUGCAAUCACAUCGCACAACACACAUGUCUUAUUAGCAACAAUUGUCUAUGUUAUUAUCGGUCUUCGCACACAUUUCUGAUUACAAACAUGUUUGUCGCAUAUCAAACACAUCUAGUUAAGUUGAACCAUUUUUGUUCUCUUGGCUCAACGCAAACAGUUCAUCCGAGUGAACUGUUUGCCCUCUAUCGCACACACCUUGAUCUGGCUGACCGUUUCUUUUGUAUUGCCUAAUCACAACACUACAAAAAAAGACACAUCCGUGACAUUUUGGGCCGAACAAUUUUUUUCCUGUCAUGCUUAUGACACUGACAAAACCCGGUAUCAUCAUAGAUGUGGUGGGCUCCUACUUCUAUGACAAAAAAUCAUGAUAGAAAAUUGGUUUUCGUCCUGUGCGGGCUGGAGACGCAGCUGCAUGACAUUCUUUGGGCCGUCCAUGACGGAAAAAACCAUGGUAGAAGCGAGAGCGAGGAAAAUAUCGGGGAGUUCCCGGUUACUGUUGGGGAUAUAACUACUGAGUAUAAACCACCCGGGAGGGGCCGGGUUAUGCUCAUGGUGAUUUACCAGCAUUGAAGCCCAUGAAGACAUAGAAGAUGGCGACUUACGAAGGAGACUUAAUAAGAAGGCCCAAAACCCAAAGGCGGGUUAGGGCCCAUAGAUGUAAACCGCCGUGGGUGUAUGACUUGUAUUAUAAGAUAGGAAAGAGUGGAUACCGAGCCGGACACGUUUAUGAGCCGGCCGGGACUCUGUGAACCACCGGGCAUCAACCUGUGUAUAUAAAGGGACGACCCGGCGGCGGUUUAGGGACAAGAAACAACAGAUCGAGAGCCAGGCCAAGCGUAUUCGCUCCCUGGUCAUCGAAACCCUAGCAAUACCACCUCACACUAGAUUAGGCCUUUACCUUCACCGCAAGGGGCCGAACCAGUAUAAAUCCCUGCGUCAUUUGUCUCGAUUAACCCCUCUAAGCUAAUCUCAUUGCGAUGGCUUCACGACUAAGUCCUCACACUAGGACAUCUGCGUGACAAACCCACGACAGUUGGCGCCCACCGUGGGGCUAUCACACGAUGGUUUCAAGUUCUUAGAGGGCAACUUCGAAGGGAUCAAGGGAUACGCCAUGGGCCGGAUGACCAAGAGUCGUCGCGGCAAGCUCUACAUCGACGACGCAGGCUGGGGCCCCGAGGCCGGCUCAAUUGAGUACGGGUACCGGGUCCCCUUUGGCGGAAUUCACGUCUUCAUUGGCAAGAUCGGCGAGCCGGGCCCUGAGCCGGACAUCUGCACCGACAUCAUCGAGACGGCUCAACGUGCAAGACCCGCCCGAGUACAGCCCGCCAUGAAUCGUGCCUUCGUGGGAUUCAUCCAUGGAGCGGAAUCUGAGGAUAGAUCGGCAUCUGGUGACGAGACAGUUGUCUAUUCUGAGGGUGAGUCAUCUACCGGUGAGACCGAGUCAUUGUAUCAACUGCAAGACGGCCGGCCUGGGGGCUGUUCCGAUGGUGACAGUAUUCUGGACCCCUAUAAGCCGCCGAACAGGGUUGCGAUCUUCAUGGCCGGAACACAGCCAGUGCAGCACUCAUUCAACUGCCGCAGAGAUGAUUUCCAGAUCAGCAGCGGCAACGGCUGCCGGGGCAGGAGGCCCUGUGCGCCCGUCGGCUCAGGUCUUAACCGAUUUGUUGGAUAAGCUGACAACAUUGUUAACAACGAUGGUUAAUCCGGUAGAUCAGGAUCAGCAUAACGCGGCGGUUGCAAAGUUGCGGGAUGAGAUAGCACAGGCCAAGGAAGAGCUGAACGCAGAAAACACUAGGAUGGCCGUGGAGCGGACCGCUUUGGAUGCUCAGGCGCAGCGGAUUCAAUCAGAGUCUUUCCGGCUCAUGCUAGAUUAGAACGCUUCAAAUGACGUCAAGAGGAGGAGGCAUCAGACUCGUCUGCCUCCGGUUUACGAGGCAAGAAAUCUCUUUAACAAGCCCGGAGCAGGGACCAGUAACCAGCCAGUGGUAAACCGGGUUGAAACGCCUGGAACAGGAGCGCCGGUUCAGCCGCUCAUGACGGACCCGCCUCGUCAAGACAAUAUCCCACCGCAGCACAUGCCGACGCCACCGGGUCAUUAUUCAAACCCCUUGGAUAACAUGAUCGCCGCCGCAUCACGAUUGGCAGCUCUCCCAGUUGAAGGCGAGUCUCCAACAUCAGUUGAGACGCGAAGGGCUAGAGAGCUUCUUCAGACGGCAUUGGUUCAGCAGCAGGCUUAUUCUUACAGUCGUGAGAGGAUUCAUUCAACCCCUCGCCCAAGCCGGAGUUAUCGUAGGCAUAUUGAGGAACCGGCCAUGUCAAGCAGUGGACGGAACCAUAACCCGCCCCGUGGACAUAACCCGGCAGGUGGUGGGGUUAAUGCCCAGAACGUCGUGGAUCAAGGAAGAGCGCGUCAAGAGGCUGAGCUGGCGGCUCAGUAUACGGCUCGUCAGCAUUCCCCGGUUCGUCCGACAACUUCGGUGGAGACAGGUGUGACCUUCAGGACUCUAGGAGUGCCGUGUUUGGUGCCGGCUUUGCAUAACGUACGUUUGCCCAAGAAUUUCAAGGGUCCCCGUAAGGUGCCCAACUACACUGCCGAUUUACCUCCUGAAACAUGGGUUGAGAGUUAUGAAAUGGCGAUGGAACCGUUGGAUGUUGACGAUGCUGCAUGUGCUAAGUACUUCACCAUGAUGUUGGAAGGGACAGCUCGUACUUGGUUGAAGGGGUUGCCAGCCAACUCCAUUGGGUCAUGGGCCGAGUUAAAAGCCCGGUUUAUCCAGAAUUUUAAAGAUACGUGCAAGCAACCCAUGUCAAUCGUGGAUUUGGCCUCCUGUGUCCAAGAAGAAGGUGAGUCGACAACCCAUUGGGUGCGCCGGAUUUCAACAAUCCUGCACUCGUCGGAUCGCAUCAAUGCCGACUCAGCAGUCUUAAUGUUGGAGAAGAAUUGUCAUUUCACGCCCCUGAAGCAGAAAUUAGGGCGGCUCAAACGUCACUGGAAUGACAUGCGGACACUCAUGGCGGCUCUGGUUAAGUAUGCUGACUCUGAUGGUACCAAGGACCCCGAGUCUGAUGAUGAAAAGCCGGGAAAGGGAAAGAAGAGCAGUAGCACCAGGGGGCAGCAGCAUACCCCGGCGAGCCAUGGAAACAACGGUAGGUGCAAAACUGAUAAUAGUUUGGACUUUGUGGCUAACACCAAUACGCAGAAUAAUGGUCAACGUCAUAAGGGUAAACCGCCCCCACGGACUGGAGGGUCAGGCUUCAAUCUUGAGCAGUUGCUAAAUCAGCCCUGCCCAAGACAUGGGACGCGGGAAAGACCGCCUGGCCACCUCUGGAAGGAUUGCUUCAUUAUGAAGAGGUACAAAAAAUCCAAUCUUUUUCAAGACGAUCAUGGGCCGGGUGGUGGUUCAGGAUCCGGCUCUCAUGGACCGGGUUAUGGCGGUGGCGGUUCUAGCUCUGGAUUCCAAGGUAAUCAAGGCAACCAAGGCAAUCAGGGUGGCUACCAUCAACAAUCAGGUCAAGGGAAUCAACAGCAGCAAUCUGGGUAUCAGAGCAACCCAAAGCAGUUGAAUAGUGGGCAGUACCGCAUCUUCACCACAAGUUUGUGCAAACGGGAUCAGAAGCUUCAUAAAAGGGCGGUGAACACCGUUGAACCGGCAGUUCCCCGUUACUUGCGCUGGUCUGAGCAGCCCAUUACGUGGAGUCGGGAAGAUCACCCGCCCCGGGUUGAUAAUCCGGGUCACCUGGCGUUGGUGGUCGCAUCUCAGGUCGGAGGGUAUAAGUUCACCAAAGUACUCAUGGAUGGAGGGAGCAGCAUCAAUAUCCUUUAUUAUGAAACUUUCCGUCGCAUGGGGUUGACAGAUAAAAAUCUUAAACCGUCGAACACUAUUUUCCAUGGCGUGGCGCCUGGUAAAUCGGCAUACCCGGUUGGUAAGAUAGGUUUGGAAGUUGCUUUUGGAGAUGAUCAUGACUCUAGGUCAGAGACAUUGACCUUUGAAGUGGUAAAAAUCAAGAGCCCUUAUCAUGCUCUGUUUGGGCGGCCGGCUUAUGCUAAGUUCAUGGCAAGGCCUUGUUAUGUUUAUCUGCAGCUCAAGAUGUCGGGUUACAAGGGGACCAUCAUAGUACAUGGGAGCCGAAAGAUAGCUUUGGAGUGCGAAGAAGGUGAUGUAGCUUAUGCUGAGUCGGUUUGUGCAACGGAGGAGUUAAAGUUUUAUAAGGACAAUGUUGAUCCGGCGGAUAUGACAUCUUUGAAAAAUCCAACUACAGAGCAUGAUCCGGUCUUGAAGUUUAAAUCAGCAGAGGAUACCAAGUUGGUUGAUUUUGUUCGUGGCGAUUCAUCCAAGUAGUUCAGUAUCAGUGCUAAUCUGGAUCCGAAAUAGGAAAGCGUGCUCAUCGAGUUCAUCCGUGAGAACCAGGACACCUUUGCAUGGAAACCUUCUGACAUGCCAGGUGUACCGAGGGAACUCGCUGAGCACACUCUCAAUAUUGAUCCCAAGUUUAAACCGUUCAAGCAGUUUCUUUGUCGUUUCAAUGAAGAAAGGUGUAAGGCCAUUGGUGAGGAGGUAGCCCGGCUCUUGGCGGCUGGGUUUAUUGUUGAGGGUUUCAUCCUGAAUGGUUAGCUAACCCGGUGCUGGUACUUAAGAAGAACGACACUUGGCUUAUGUGUGUGGACUACACAGAUUUAAAUAAGGCUUGUCCGGCUGAUCCUUUUGCUCUCCCUCAUAUUGAUCAGAUUAUUGAUGCUACGGCGGGUUGUGAGCAUUUGAGUUUUUUGGAUGCUUAUUCUGGUUAUCAUCAGAUCAAGAUGGCAGUUAAAGACCAAGAGAAGACAGCUUUCAUAACUCCCUUUGGAGCCUUCUGCUAUGUGUCUAUGCCCUUUGGACUCAAGAGUGCCCAGGCGACUUACCAGCGAUGUGUGCAGAAUUGUCUUCAUAAUCAGAUUGGGCGCAAUGUUCGUGCUUAUGUGGAUGAUAUUGUGGUGAAAUCCAGAAAGAAGGAGACGUUGAUAGAUGAUUUGAAGGAAACCUUUGAUAAUCUCCGGGUUUAUAAGAUGAUGCUUAACCUGGCCAAGUGUGUUUUUGGUGUGCCGAUAGGCAAGCUCUUGGGCUUUCCGGUGUCUAACAGGGGCAUCGAAGCUAAUCCGGAGAAGAUCAAAGCCAUUACUUCUCUGGCUAAACUGGCGUGUGUCAACGAUGUUCAACGACUGGCGGCUCGUAUUGCGGCGCUAAGCCGGUUCAUAAGCCGGAUGGGAGAGAAGGCUAUCCCUCUGUAUCAGAUGAUGAAAAAGACAGAUAAUUUUGUUUGGAGUGAUGCCGCUAAUGCAUCGUUUGAGGACUUGAAGAAGUAGCUGGCUGAGCCACCUGUUCUGGCCGCUCCUGUUGAUAAAGAGCCAUUGUUGUUGUACGUGGCUGCCAAUGCUCGGGCUGUCAGCGUGGCUAUUGUGGUGGAACGGAAGGAGGCAGGCAAGGAGUAUCUGGUUCAAAGGCCGGUUUACUACAUCAGCGAGGUGCUUAUUGAGUCCAAGCAGAGGUAUCCGCACUGGCAGAAACUGGUAUAUGGGGUGUUCAUGGCUGGUCGGAAGCUCAAGCAAUAUUUUUUGGGUCAUCCCAUCACUCUGGUUAGUUCUGCUCCUUUAGGGGAUAUUAUUUAGAACAGAGAAGCCACAGGUCGGAUAGCCAAGUGGGCCAUUGAACUUGGACCUCACGGUUUGAAAAUAUAUGCCUCGCACGGCCAUCAAGUCUCAAGCACUGGUGGAUUUCAUCAAUGACUGGACAGAGCCGCAGAUGCCUGAAGAAAAGCCAGAUAACACGUAUUGGACUAUUCACUUUGAUGGGUCCAGGCAAUUGGAGGGCUCGGGGGCUGGAGUUGUGCUAGCUUCCCCUCGAGGUGAUAAAUUUUGUUAUGUUCUUCGGUUGAUGUUCCCUUGUACUAACAAUGCAGCUGAGUAUGAGGCCUUGCUCCACGGUCUUCGGAUGGCUAAAGAUAUGAACUUAAGCCGGGUAAGGUGCUUUGGCGACUCAGACUUGGUAGCUCAACAAGUUUCUGGUACUUGGGAUUCUAAGGAUCCACUCAUGGCGACUUAUCGUCGAGAGGUUGAUGUUAUUGCGGGUCACUUCAAGGGUUAUCAGGUUGAGCAUAUUGAUCGAAGGAAGAAUGAGGCGACUGAUGCUUUAAGCCGGCUGGGUUCUCAACGUAAGCCGGUUCCACCCAAUACUUUCUUGGAUAUUCUGUAUAACCCCUCAGUCAAGUUGCCUACGGAGGAGGAUAUUGCUAUUCCUGACCCAGAAGCACAAUUGGUGGCGGCUAUUCAUGCUAUUCCUGAUUGGACAGUCCCUUAUUUGGCUUAUAUGACCCGGGGCGAGUUACCUGAGGAUGAAACCUUAGCUAGGCAGAUAACCCGGCGUUCUAAGUCAAUGAAAAUUGUCAAUGGAGAGCUACAUCACUGCAGUGUUACAGGGGCCUUUCAACGUCGUGUUUCUCCAGAAGAGGGCCGUGAGAUCCUGCGUGAGAUUCAUGAAGGAGACUGUGGUCAUCAUGCCGGUUCAAAGUCUCUCGUGGCUAAAGCUUUCGUCAUGGAUUUUAUUGGCUGACGGCUCAUGCUGAUGCUGAAGACCUGGUCAGUAGGUGCGAUGGAUGUCAGAAAUUUUCACGACGAGCCCAUGUGCCGGCUCAAGAAUUUAGGAUGAUUCCAAUUACUUGGCCGUUUGCAGUUUGGGGGCUUGAUAUGGUUGGACCUUUCAAAAGGUCCAAGGACAAAAAGACACAUCUCCUGGUGGCGGUUGACAAAUUUACAAAGUGGGUUGAGACCAAGCCAGUCAGUAAAUGUGACGCGGUGACGACGGUUCAGUUCAUUAAAAAGGUGAUUUUCCGUUUUGGCUUUCCCCACAGUAUCAUAACUAAUAAUGGCACUAAUCUGUCCAAGGGUGCUAUGAAAGAAUUUUGUCAAUGUGAGCAUAUCCGGCUUGACGUGUCGUCAGUGGCUCACCCCCAAUCUAAUGGUCAAGCUAAGAGAGCCAAUCAAGAGAUCCUGAGAGGCAUCAAGCCUUGGCUUUUGGUUCCCCUACAGAGGACGUCGGGUUGUUGGGUGGAGGAGUUACCUUCCGUGUUAUGGAGCAUUAAUACCACCCCAAUAGAUCUACGGGUUACACGCUCUGUUGGAAAAGGCAGUGCCUAGGAGGUGCUUAGGCACGCCUAGGCGCUAGGCAAUGGCCAAACGCCUCGCCUAGGACAUAAAUGGAGGUCUAGGCAGGGCAAGAAAGGAAUUGCCUACCCAAGAAAGAAAGCAUGCCACGUACUACACUGAUAUGCCAAACGGGUUAUAUUCCAAUGGAAGUAGACGGUAAUUAACUUAUUUAUAUGCCCUAAACUAAUAUCAACACCCAUAUAAUAAUCACAAAUGCACUAUGAGUAAAAACUAUAUCACCGUCUCGGCCGUGCCUAGGGCGCUUAGGCACCGCCUAGGCACUAGGCGAAGGCCAACCGCCUCGCUUACGCCUACCGCUUUUUCCAACCUUGUUACACGCCCUUCUUCAUGGUUUACGGAGCAGAGGCGGUUCUCCCUAGUGACAUCCGUCACGACUCACCGCGUGUGGCGGCUUAUGUUGAAGCUGACAAUGAAAAGGCACGUCAGGAAGCACUUGAC
rnacentral:lncRNA from 1 species